ensembl:misc_RNA 7SK 7SK RNA
GGAUGUGAGGGCAAUCUGGUUGUGCAAUCUGUCACCUCAUUGGUUGUCAGGAUUGAUUUGGCUGAUCUGGGCAGCUAGGCUGGUAGCCCUUCCUUCCUUCACUGCUCCAUGGGUAUCUGAAGCUGCGCUCUUGGCAGAGGAGGACUCUCCUCAGUCAAGGGAAUAGCAGUAGCUGUGCUCUCUUGCUAGAACUUCCAAAUAAGCACUCAACCAAUCCCCUUUCAAGUCAGAUUUGGGCACUGAAUGUAGGGUAUUACAUGCACUGAAUGUAGGAUAUUACGUGCAUAUUUAGGAUCAAUAUUGAUGGUUUUAUCUUU